AAAAUUAGUUAAAGUUAUAACAUUAGUAUGUCAAACUAAAAUUAUUGUUCUUAUAAUAUUUUUUA
rnacentral:tRNA from 1 species